GGGAGGAGGUGCGAGAUGGUAGAGCUGGAGGAUCGUCAGCAACAGGAGAGGGAGGCCAGGCUGCAGUGUCACUCACGUCUGGCGUUGACGGCACAGGCUCCGAUUCCUCGCCGGAACCAGACGCACGCUCGCAUCUUCAAGAGUUCGCAGCUUGAAGGUGAAAUCAGAGGUUCGUGGCUGACCUGCGUAGGUGCUUUGAACCGAGAAAGAAGGACAAGAUAAAAGCCUCUUUCUUAAACGCAGCAUUCAUCAUGUCGCUUUCUGACUGAAAACAAACAAAGGAGAAACCUUCCGUGGGUUUCUAUCCAUCCUCUCAGCAAACAGAUCUCACUGGGCACCUAUCCUUAUCGCCCACCACUUCGCACUCGAAUUUGAAGCCUUUCAGCUGAGCUCACCUGCUUUGGAUCCUACCCCCCAAGACUGGAUUGUUUCUGCCCCCCCCUGCCUCUGUGCCCUCCCCACACCCUCUCCCUGUGUCCCCAUCCGUGUGCCUCACCUCCUCAGAACCCCC